rnacentral:tRNA from 1 species
AAUAAGAAGCAAACCUUGCAUUUAGCUUCGACCUAAAAAUUUGAUACACUUAUCCUUAUUUA